rnacentral:rRNA from 1 species
UGGGGAAUAUUGCACAAUGGGGGAAACCCUGAUGCAGCGACGCCGUGUGAACGAAGAAGGUAUUCGUAUCGUAAAGUUCUGUCCUAUGGGAAGAUAAUGACAGUACCAUAGAAGAAAGCUCCGGCUAAAUACGUGCCAGCAGCCGCGGUAAUACGUAUGGAGCGAGCGUUGUCCGGAAUUAUUGGGCGUAAAGGGUACGCAGGCGGUUUAAUAAGUCGAAUGUUAAAGAUCGGGGCUCAACCCCGCAAAGCAUUGGAAACUGAUAAACUUGAGUAGUGGAGAGGAAAGUGGUAUUCCUAGUGUAGUGGUGAAAUACGUAGAUAUUAGGAGGAAUACCAGUAGCGAAGGCGACUGUCUAGACACAAACUGACGCUGAGGUACGAAAGCGUGGGGAGCAAACAGG